GCUGCAGAUAAAGGUAAGGAGAUUUCUGCUUUAACUUUAUUGCAUUUCUUUGAGCCAAACAUUUUCACAAACGAUUCUUGUCUCUUAUUUUUCAGCAAACUCCACCCAAGUUUUCUACACAAAAAUGACAAUCGACAAAAAUGCACUGCAGCUCAUCCUGCGAGAGCUGAGCGCGUUCAGGGACAACAAUGGGAGCAGGAUCAUCACCGACGUCCACAUGACCACAAGUACAGACGUGUCCCGUCCCUGAACGUCUGCUCUGAACUGGGACGUCCCAACAUUUCCUGUUUCUGUUUAAAGGCUGCACCAAGGCAGAGAAGAGCCAGACCUGUGUCUGCAGCGACGGCAACAAAUGGAGCGAUCAAGUCCUCCAGGAACACCAGGCCAGCUGUAACCAGACUGUGUGCACGCUCCCGCUGGACUCUCACCUCACCUGCAUUUCAAACACAACAGUGAAAAUCUCCGGAUCCAUCACUUUAUCGGAUAAUUCAUCAAAUUCUUUCAAGAACUGUCUGCUGCCGAAGGACUCGUCUGCUUACAGCGACUGCAAAGUCAAACUGGAGUCGGCUUUGAAGGCGGUCUACAGCACUCUGAACGGCCUGGACACCUUCACCAUCGUCGCCAUCAGGUCGGUCCUUCAGAGGAGUGGAAGAGCUGUUUUCAGCUCAUCUCACAGGAAAAGCCGUUUGUGUUUCCCUGCAGGGUGGGAAGCAUCAUCGUGGACUUUACCUUGACCGUCGUCAACCCCAUCACUGCACAGGACCUGCUGAGUAGAUCCAAACAAGUCAACAUUUCAGACUCCAUGGAUCUGGAGACCACAGGGAUGGUCACCGUCACUGUGCCCGACCGCAUGGUGCCUUACGGGGGCAACGACACGGUCAUCUGCACCACAGUGGAGGAUUUAAGGCUGGAUCCGACGUGGACGCUGAGAAGAGAUGGUUUGAACUUCAGCAUCUUUAACGGAACAGUCUCCACUCUUACAAACACGUCAUCAACGGAAUUCCACGUCAAUCUGAAAGGAGUGGACAAGCACUGGACAGGUUGGACUUCUGACCUGCAUUCUUCCUUCCUCCUACCUCUCACGUGUUCAGCAUCGCAGUGUUUGUUUUCAGGAGAAUACGACUGCAGCUUCAGAGACACCUCGUCCAAAAUCACCGUGACGCACAGAGCCAACGCCACCAUAGACAUCUGCCUGAAGCCAGAGAUCCUCAGCUCUGCGGAGCCGGCGUUCCCUCACUGCACGACCAAGAACCAACUCCUGUUCGUGCUGGUCAAAUGCCAGAUCACGAAAAGCAGCGAGCAAUACAACGUGACAUGGCCGACAGAUUACUUGCUGAACUCUCCAUCUAACGAUUCGGACACGCUGACGUAUUCAGCCCAAUUGCUAAUAGACUGCACCGCCACCGGGGACCCUACAGCCACUUGUAACUUCAUGAACAGAUGUCAGCAAAACCAGAGCAGUACAUUCAUUAUUAAUGUCAUUAAAGGUAAGUAUGGAGGUCACUCUGAGCCCACGCAAUCCCCGGGGUCACGAUCCCAGUCAGGAUUCCGUCCAACACCCAUUCCUCAUGGAGAUUCACUUCAAAACCCAAAGUUUUGUUCGGCUAUGAAACAGUUUUUACUGAGAGACCAAAAUCUGACCAAAGGUGAAUUAUGAUGCUCAUUGUAAACAGACCUUUUCUACUUAAAGGGCUCGAGAAAUGGAGCUAAAGGAAAAUAGAUCCAUGGAUUUCUAUCACUGUGUUACAAUCAUGACCAUCACAAUAAUCCCAAUAGAAAAGGCCAGAAAAUCCCAAAGCACAUGAAAGCAUGGGCAGUCAUAGGUGAGAGGGAGCCCAACCGCAGGAAGGAAAGGUCAAAAACGUCCCAAAGUGUCUGUAAAAAGUCUCCAAAGAACGAAACUGGAAAAUACAAUCCAGAACAUAAAGACACUACAGAACCAAGGACGGGGAGGGGUCCAGAUACCUGUCCUUACAGGUGGAUACAGGUGUCUGCUGUUGAAAAAUGCUACCGAAUGGUACCCUUACCUGGACGGUGUGUCCCUCAGAAAAUAUGAAGAUUGUAGUUGCUCAGUGAGCUGUAGAGAAAAAAAACAUAGAAAUACAGAGACAUAUAUCUCAAUGUACAGAAAUAUAAAGAGAUAUAUAGAAAAACACAUACAAAGAAACGUACAGAAAUCAAAAGAAAUACACAGAAAUAUAAAUAACUUCAUAACAGGAGGAUUUAGAACUUGAUCCUGGAUUCAACUGGAUCCAGUGGAGUGAAGCUAACACAGGAGUGAUGUGUUCUCUUCUGCUAGUUCCUGCUAACAAUCUGGCUGCUGCAUUCUGAACAAGAUGAAAACUUUUUAAAGAACUUUUAGAGCAGGCUAUUAGUAAAGAGUUACAGUAAUCCAGUCUAGACGUAACAAAUGCAUGGAUGAGUUUUUCAGCAUCACUUUUAGAUAACAUAUUUCUGAUCCGAGCUAUAUUGCGAAGGUGAAAAAAUGCAGUUCUACAAGCUUGUGAUAUGUGAGCCUUAAAUGAUAAAUCCUGGUCGAAUAAAACCCCCAAGUUUCUGACUGUAGAAUUGGAGGAAAUAUUUACACCAUCCAAGGAGACUAUCUGAUCCGAGAGAUCAUCUCUCAGGUGUUUAGGACCCAGGAUAAUGACCUCAGUUUUUUUCUGGGUUAAGGAGGAGGUCAUUAAUUGUCAUCCAGGACUUAAUGUCUCUAAUACAGGAAUUCAGUUUCUCUAGGUGGUCAUUCUGGUCUGGUUUAAUGGAUAAAUACAGCUGCGUAUCAUCUGCAUAACAGUGGAAAUUAAUGCUAUGUUUCCUAAUUAUGUUUCCUAAGGGCAACAUAUAAAGCACGAACAGGAUGGGCCCAAGAACUGAGCCCUGAGGAACUCCGUAAUAAUAAUAAUAAUGGAUUAGAUUUAUCUGCGCUUUUCCAGACGCUCAAAGCGCUUACAAUAAAAACCCAUUAUUCAUUCACACCUCAUCCAUACUUGGUGAUGGUAAGCUACUACUGUAGCCACAGCUGCCUUGGGGCAGGCUGACAGAGGCGUGGCUGCCAGUUCGCGCCAACGGCCCUUCUGACCAUCACCGGGACGUUCACACACAUUCACACGCCAGUGGAGCCACACUGGAGGCAAGUAGGGUUAAGUGUCUUGCCCAAGGACACAACGACUUUUUGGCCGACAGGAGCAAGGAUCGAACCGCCUAUCCUUCGAUCAUUGGCCGACCUGCUCUACCACCUGAGCUU
rnacentral:lncRNA from 1 species